CCUACGGGUGGCAGCAGUGGGGAAUAUUGCACAAUGGGGGAAACCCUGAUGCAGCGACGCCGCGUGAGUGAAGAAGUAUCUCGGUACGUAAAGCUCUAUCAGCAGGAAAGAAAAUGACGGUACCUGACUAAGAAGCCCCGUCAAACUACGUGCCAGCAGCCGCGGUAAUACGUAGGGGGCAAGCGUUAUCCGGAUUUACUGGGUGUAAGGGGUGCGCAGGCGGAAGAUAAAGUCAGCGGUAAAAUUGAGAGGCUCAACCUCUUCGAGCCGUUGAAACUGGUUUUCUUGAGUGAGCGAGAGGUAUGCGGAAUGCGUGGUGUAGCGGUGAAAUGCAUAGAUAUCACGAAGAACUCCGAUUGCGAAGGCAGCAUACCGGCGCUCAACUGACGCUCAUGCACGAAAGUGUGGGUAUCGAACAGGAUUAGAUACCCGUGUAGUC
rnacentral:rRNA from 1 species